AGUCAAAUGUGGGCUGGA
rnacentral:misc_RNA from 1 species